CAUGCAAGUCGAACGAAGUAGCAAUACUUAGUGGCAGACGGGUGAGUAACAUGUAGGUAUCUGCCCUUUGGCCUGGAAUAACACGAGGAAACUUGUGCUAAUACUGGAUAAGUCUUUACGGAGAAAGCUUUAUGCACCAUUGGAUGAGCCUGCACUUGAUUAGUUUGUUGGUGGGGUAAUGGCCUACCAAGACUGUGAUCAAUAGCUGAUUUGAGAGGAUGAUCAGCCACAUUGGGACUGAGACACGGCCCAAACUCCUACGGGAGGCAGCAGUGGGGAAUCUUGCACAAUGGAGGAAACUCUGAUGCAGCGAUGCCGCGUGAGUGAAGAAGGCCCUUGGGUUGUAAAGCUCUUUCGUCGGGGAAGAAAAUGACUGUACCCGAAUAAGAAGGUCCGGCUAACUUCGUGCCAGCAGCCGCGGUAAUACGAAGGGACCUAGCGUAGUUCGGAAUUACUGGGCUUAAAGAGUUCGUAGGUGGUUGAAAAAGUUGGUGGUGAAAUCCCAGAGCUUAACUCUGGAACUGCCAUCAAAACUUUUCAGCUAGAGUAUGAUAGAGGAAAGCAGAAUUUCUAGUGUAGAGGUGAAAUUCGUAGAUAUUA
rnacentral:rRNA from 1 species